rnacentral:rRNA from 1 species
UACAGAGGGGGCAAGCGUUUGUUCGGAAUUACUGGGCGUAAAGGGCGCGUAGGCGGCCUGCUAAGUCGAACGUGAAAUCCCCCGAGCUCAACUCGGGAACUGCGUCCGAUACUGCUUUGCUUGAGGCCGGGAGAGGUGAGUGGAAUUCCCAGUGUAGCGGUGAAAUGCGUAGAUAUUGGGAGGAACACCAGUGGCGAAGGCGGCUCACUGGACCGGUUCUGACGCUGAUGCGCGAAAGCGUGGGGAGCAAACGGG